rnacentral:rRNA from 1 species
UACGUAGGAGGCAAGCGUUAUCCGGAUUUACUGGGCGUAAAGAGGGCGUAGGCGGUUUUUCAAGUUGGAUGUGAAAUCUCCCAGCUCAACCGGUGAGGGGUCAUCCAAUACUGUUGGACUAGAGGGCAGCAGAGGGAGGUGGAAUUCCCGGUGUAGUGGUGAAAUACGUAGAUAUCGGGAGGAACACCAGUGGUGAAGACGGCCUCCUGGGCUGUUGCUGACGCUGAGGCCCAAAAGCGUGGGGAGCAAACAGGAUUAGAUACCCUCGUA